rnacentral:rRNA from 1 species
GACGCAGCAUGCCGCGUGAUGAGAGGCCUUCGGGUUGUAAAGUUCUUUCGGUAUUGAGGAAGGAGUGUAUGUUAAUAGCAUACAUUAUUGACGUUAAAUACAGAAGAAGCACCGGCUAACUCCGUGCCAGCAGCCGCGGUAAUACGGAGGGUGCGAGCGUUAAUCGGAAUAACUGGGCGUAAAGGGCACGCAGGCGGUUAUUUAAGUGAGGUGUGAAAGCCCCGGGCUUAACCUGGGAAUUGCAUUUCAGACUGGGUAACUAGAGUACUUUAGGGAGGGGUAGAAUUCCACGUGUAGCGGUGAAAUGCGUAGAGAUGUGGAGGAAUACCGAAGGCGAAGGCAGCCCCUUGGGAAUGUACUGACGCUCAUGUGCGAAAGCGUGGGGAGCAAACA